GUGGGGAAUCUUGGGCAAUGGGCGCAAGCCUGACCCAGCGACGCCGCGUGGGGGAGGAAGUCCUUCGGGACGUAAACCCCACAAGUGAGGGACGAAUAAGACCGGGCUAAUACCCCGGUGGAUGACGGUACCUCAUGUAAGCCCCGGCUAACUACGUGCCAGCAGCCGCGGUAAUACGUAGGGGGCGAGCGUUGUCCGGAAUUACUGGGCGUAAAGCGCGCGUAGGCGGCUUGGUAAGUCGGUUGUGGAAGCCUCAGGCUCAACCUGGGAAUUGCGAUCGAAACUGCUAGGCUUGAGUACGGUAGGGGGUGCUAGAAUUCCUGGUGUAGCGGUGAAAUGCAUAGAUAUCAGGAGGAAUACCAGUGGCGAAGGCGGGCACCUGGGCCGUUACUGACGCUGAGGCGCGAAAGCUAGGGGAGCAAACCGGAUUAGAAACCCGAGUAGUCC
rnacentral:rRNA from 1 species